CUGUUUUAAUAAUGAAGAAUUAGUGACUCAUGGCGUGAUAUCUGAGCAGAACACCAGCUUUCUUACCAGUUCAUAACUUCCUUAGCACUGCAGGAAAGCAGGCUUAUAUGGAUCCUAUUGGUCCAGCAUAAUUAAAUUUGGUCAAACAUACACUAAACGGUUUCUUGAAAGAACUCUAGUCCACGCAUGAAUAAAUGUGCAGAGCAAGCUAUUGUGA